rnacentral:rRNA from 1 species
UACGUAGGGUGCGAGCGUUAAUCGGAAUUACUGGGCGUAAAGCGUGCGCAGGCGGUUUUGUAAGCCAGAUGUGAAAGCCCCGGGCUUAACCUGGGAAUGGCAUUUGGGACUGCAAGGCUGGAGUGUGGCAGAGGAGACUGGAAUUCCUGGUGUAGCAGUGAAAUGCGUAGAUAUCAGGAGGAAUACCGAUGGCGAAGGCAGGUCUCUGGGCUAACACUGACGCUCAUGCACGAAAGCGUGGGGAGCGAAACAACGGAUUGA